CUAGGACCCGUUGCCCUUGCGCAUGAUGUCAUUUAAGAUAUCCCCCCCACUUGCUCCCAGAGCUCUUGGUCUAACGUGCCUUCUUCUGGGAACCAUGGCUUAUUGAAAACAACAGUUUGCAUUAGGCCCCUUAAUUGAGCCUGCGAGACCGAGGCUCUGCUAGCUUUAAGCAGCUGUUUCAAUACUUACAUAUAGUGUUGCUGUUGAGCUGAUAACUGUUGUCCCAUGAUGAAACCCUAGGUUGAAAAUUCCCUCAAACUUGGAAAUCCCGAGCGGGCACCAAUUACUUAUUUCCCGCACAGUCUCUUCACCUCGUUUUUGGGAGUUCCAUCGUGAUCUGUUGCAGCAUUCCUCACACAGGGCACCAGCUGCUGGGUCUGUCCCACAGACCCUGGCUGAACGAUGGAUGAAACGAGUACUCACACGCAGGUAUAUAGUGUAAGAGCAGCUAGGGGACUGCUCGGCACUAGUGGCCAAAGUGCGAGCAGGCAAACAGCCGGAGCUGCUUGCUUUUAUUCAGUAUAGACAUAAUGCUGAAAGCCUGGAGCAAAAACAAUCUGUGGGUAAUUAACAUUAUUGUUCCCUCAGGGAGCGGGUCACACAUGUGGAUGAUCAAAGGUCAGCUCUUGGUCAAUAUGAGAAGACUGGUUUCAGAAAAGUUGCGUGCUGAAGACUACAAAGCUGUUUGUAAGUUAUCAAGCUAGGAUUUGAUCCCAGGUCUGCCUGAUUCCAAAUCCUGGACUCUUAACCAUGACAUAAGAGUGCCCUCUUGACUCCUAUGAUGGCAUAAAGAAUUGUAUCAGAACGGGUAAUCUGGCAUUAAAACCCCUGUGCCGCAACA